UUCAGUUUUUCUCCCUUUUUUUUAAGAGAUAGCAGAGAAACCCUCUGCUAGGGUUUCUUCCAUGCCGCCGCGGCCGCGCGAGCCAUACCACGGCCUCCGACGACGCCCCGACCUCCGACUGCGACGGAGGGGGACGAUUCGACGGUUCCUGCUAAAGUCCGUAUUCGCAGGUGAAAGUGGAGAGUUUGGCGCGCGUGGAGGCCGAAACGUGCGGCGAUCGGGCGUUGGGCGCGGCGUAGGGCUGUUGCGGCGCUAAGGCAGAUGCGGCUAGGGUUUUCCUCUUUUGUUUUUGUGUUUUGCUGUAUUGAUUAGUUUGGGCUGCUUUGUUGGGCUUGUAGAAAACUGGGUUGUGCCCCAUUGUUUAUUUCACACGGGCCCGGGCUAAUUUGGGCCUACUACACCCUUAACCUACAAAAUAAGAAUUAGGGCUAAAGUAACAAGAAAGGUAAAUAAUAGGAGCUAAAUUUAUUAUUUUGCCUAAAAUAGAAACAAACAUAGUUUAUUACAAAGGGUACAUUUGGAUACAUAAAGUAAUUGCACGAAAGUAUAAUAACAAAAUAUAAUUCUAUAGAUAUGUUUAGCUAA